rnacentral:rRNA from 1 species
CGCGUGAGGGAUGGAGGCCUUCGGGUUGUAAACCUCUUUUGUUAGGGAGCAAGGCACUUUGUGUUGAGUGUACCUUUCGAAUAAGCACCGGCUAACUACGUGCCAGCAGCCGCGGUAAUACGUAGGGUGCAAGCGUUAUCCGGAAUUAUUGGGCGUAAAGGGCUCGUAGGCGGUUCGUCGCGUCCGGUGUGAAAGUCCAUCGCUUAACGGUGGAUCCGCGCCGGGUACGGGCGGGCUUGAGUGCGGUAGGGGAGACUGGAAUUCCCGGUGUAACGGUGGAAUGUGUAGAUAUCGGGAAGAACACCAAUGGCGAAGGCAGGUCUCUGGGCCGUUACUGACGCUGAGGAGCGAAAGCGUGGGGAGCGAACAGGAUUAGAUACCCUGGUAGUCCACGCCGUAAACGGUGGAUGCUGGAUGUGGGGCCCGUUCCACGGGUUCCGUGUCGGAGCUAACGCGUUAAGCAUCCCGCCUGGGGAGUACGGCCGCAAGGCUAAAACUCAAAGAAAUUGACGGGGGCCCGCACAAGCGGCGGAGCAUGCGGAUUAAUUCGAUGCAACGCGAAGAACCUUACCUGGGCUUGACAUGUUCCCGACGAUCCCAGAGAUGGGGUUUCCCUUCGGGGCGGGUUCACAGGUGGUGCAUGGUCGUCGUCAGCUCGUGUCGUGAGAUGUUGGGUUAAGUCCCGCAACGAGCGCAACCCUCGCCCCGUGUUGCCAGCGGAUUAUGCCGGGAACUCACGGGGGACCGCCGGGGUUAACUCGGAGGAAGGUGGGGAUGACGUCAGAUCAUCAUGCCCCUUACGUCCAGGGCUUCACGCAUGCUACAAUGGCCGGUACAACGGGAUGCGACAGUGCGAGCUGGAGCGGAUCCCUGAAAACCGGUCUCAGUUCGGAUCGCAGUCUGCAACUCGACUGCGUGAAGGCGGAGUCGCUAGUAAUCGCGAAUCAGCAACGUCGCGGUGAAUGCGUUCCCGGGCCUUGUACACACCGCCCGUCAAGUCAUGAAAGUGGGCAGCACCCGAAGCCGGUGGCCUAACCCCUUGCGGGAGGGAGCCGUCUAAGGUGAGGCUCGUGAUUGG